GACGAACGCUGGCGGCGUGCUUAACACAUGCAAGUCGAACGGAAAGGCCCUGCUUUUGUGGGGUGCUCGAGUGGCGAGCGGGUGAGUAACACGUGAGUAACCUGCCCUUGACUUUGGGAUAACUUCAGGAAACUGGGGCGAAUACCGGAUAGGAGCUCCUGCUGCAUGGGGGGGGUUGGUAAGUUUCGGCGGUUGGGGAUGGACUAGCGGCUUACCAGCUGGUUGGUGGGGUAGUGGCUUACCAAGGCUUUGAAGGGUAGGCUGCGUGAGAGGGUGACCGGCCACCAUGCGACUGCGAGACGGCCCAGACGCCUACGGGACGCAGCAGUGGGGAAUAUGGCACAAUGGCCGGGAGCCAGAUGCAAAAACGCCGCGUUCGUAAUGACGUCCUUCGGGUUGUGAACCGCUUUCGCCUGUGACGAAGCGUGAGUGACGGUAAUGGGUAAAAAAGCACCGGCUAACUACGUG
rnacentral:rRNA from 1 species